GCCUUCGUGGUGUAGUGGUCAGCACGCUGGGCGCGGAUUUCAAAGGUCCUCGUUCGAGUUCCAGCGCGUAUUCCAGAGGUACGUGGUUCGAGUCCUGGCGAAGGCG
rnacentral:tRNA from 1 species